rnacentral:ncRNA from 1 species
ACGGACUUCUGGAGAGAGCUUGAAGCAGCUACUGCUGUUUACAAGACACCGAAGGGGCAAGGGAUAACACCCGAAACUCUCAGGUAAAAGGACAGAAAG